rnacentral:rRNA from 1 species
GUCGAACGAUGAACCUCCUUCGGGAGGGGAUUAGUGGCGAACGGGUGAGCUAACACGUGGGCAAUCUGCCCUUCACUCUGGGACAAGCCCUGGAAACGGGGUCUAAUACCGGAUAUGACGCGCGACCGCAUGGUCUGUGCGUGGAAAGCUCCGGCGGUGAAGGAUGAGCCCGCGGCCUAUCAGCUUGUUGGUGGGGUAAUGGCCUACCAAGGCGACGACGGGUAGCCGGCCUGAGAGGGCGACCGGCCACACUGGGACUGAGACACGGCCCAGACUCCUACGGGAGGCAGCAGUGGGGAAUAUUGCACAAUGGGCGAAAGCCUGAUGCAGCGACGCCGCGUGAGGGAUGACGGCCUUCGGGUUGUAAACCUCUUUCAGCAGGGAAGAAGCGAGAGUGACGGUACCUGCAGAAGAAGCGCCGGCUAACUACGUGCCAGCAGCCGCGGUAAUACGUAGGGCGCAAGCGUUGUCCGGAAUUAUUGGGCGUAAAGAGCUCGUAGGCGGCUUGUCACGUC